GUUGGCUUGCUCGCCGGCGCGUGCGUGCGUGCUUCGAUGCGCGACGCCCCGUCGAGCUGGCCGGCGGCGGCGAGGGCGGCAACAAGGGCCCGGGGCAGGGCGGUGGCGCGGUUCGUGCAGACCAGGCACCGCUCCUCCGGCAAGGUGCUCGGCGAGGAGGAGACGGCCGCCGAGAACGUCUACAUCAAGUCAAGUGCUGUUCUUGGUGGAGUUGCGCCUCCAGUGCGCUCUUCGGGCUGCUCGGAGCCAUGCUGUCAGAGCUCUUCAUCAACUGGGCCAUCUACACCAACAAGGAGGGUGCAUCUCCAACCAAUUCUGCAGCGGUGCUACCGGACGCAAGGGUGGAGAAUGCGCCUCCUUGCCGAAGCUUCUCGCUCUAGCGGUCUGGUGCUGGUGAUCUCAGCCCGUAUAGAUGGAUUGGCCAGCAGCUGUGUAUACGGCAGCGGCGCUGCUGUACUACUACACCUAUGAUCCAAUCUAAAGUGCUGGUCCCAAGACUCUGAACUAGCCAAGAAGCAGGAGAGGACGAGAGAGCAACUUCGCUGUGUGCAGCAGCCCUACAAACCCUUUCUACUAUGACCUGAUGAAGCCAUGAUGCUUACCUCGCUGGAGCGUAUCAACCCUAGCCAUGGUACCACAUUCUUAGUCAUGAGGUCACUGUGCUACAACCGCAACAACGAUAUCUUCUCCAGUUAGAUAAGUCUUCGGUCUAUCCCAUUAUUUUCUGUUACUUGGUUUUGAGAUGCUUAUUUUGGGACGAAGGGAGUAUUAUUGUGUCGAUUCCCUAUGUGAUAUAGAAGCUAUGGUAUUUUGUUUUGAGUCUGUUGUAAUUGAUAAUGAUUUGUGUAAAAUUAGUGUAGAACAUAUGUCCUGUUAUCUUAAGUCAUUUGUGCAUGCUCAAUGAACCAUCUGAGAUUGAAUCAUUUUUUGCGUUCAACAUCUAGAACCAUUCUGUCCGUGUUGGUAUUCAUGCUACAACUGUGCUUUCUUGUCUCUUGUGUUGCGUGGUCCUUGUGGUUGUUACUGUUACAUGUACAUAUGCUUCAUGAUUCAGUCCCUAGCUGCUUUGUAUGUUUGUUUUUAUUCUGUUUCUAACUCCUUUUGUUUAUUGUUAGAUGCCUUUGUUCAGCCUCUGCAAACAAGAGCUCCAACCUGAAAGUGAAGAAAGCAGAAGUAUACCUGUAGAGCUAGUUAUAUGUUGUGAUAGUAUCUGGGUGAAAUGUACUAUGUAAAGAUUGUGCUAUUAGCCAAAAUUGGCAUGUGUAUUGAUAAUUUCCAUCUGUUAACUGUUCUCAAUGAAAUAUUGCUUCAAAUUAUGGAAAUUGAAACCCAG
rnacentral:rRNA from 1 species